rnacentral:tRNA from 1 species
GGUUCUGUAGCUCAAUGGUAGAGCAGCGAGCUUAUACCUCGUAACGACAGAUAAUCGGCUGAUACUGGUUCGAGUCCAGUCAGAACCACCA